ensembl:lncRNA
AGUCGGAGUCUGGGAGGAGAGGGGACGUUUCCUAUCGAUCAACAUCCGCAGACAGGUAAUCAGGCCCCAGGCCAGGCGCUGAUCGCCCCGGCUGUGUCCAUCCAUCUCCUUCCUGCGGUGCCGAGACUGGGGCCGGGCCCCGAGCCACAGUGCCCGCCCGUCACGUUCCAUCUGGGCAGCUGGCAUCGGGGGUCUCAGGGCUGCUCCACGGACCGAGCCUCAGGAAGUCCGAGUGAGGGGGGGAGAGAGAGAGAGAGGAGAGAGACCGGAGCAGACAUAGAGCCACUGGACGGCCAGUGCGCGCAGGGCCCCGAGCUCGGAGCCACAGACAGACACAGCGAACAAAACCGACAGAAGGUGGGCAGCGCUGCCAGCAGAGAGAGACCCAGUGCAGGGCGCCGUGCCCUCCUCACGCGGAGUGGAUCUACUUUGGCCAUGAGGGUGAGGACCAUGCAUCCACCUUGUAGGAUUGCUCACUCAGUUCUUGCUGCUCUCUUACCAAAAGGUCCCCUCUCCUCACAGACGUCCUGCGGGGCAAAAAUACAUCUUCCCAACUGAAAAGUAUUCCAGAAUCGCCUGACACACCGUAGUGCUAAUGCACCAGGCACGGAGCUGGGUCAGGGAUGGAGAGAAACGGUGCCAGACGCAGACUCGGCCGUCCCGUCUCUAUGGGUUUCCUGUGGCUUCUGUAGCGAAAUAGCACAAACUGCGCAGCUUAGAACGACGCAAAUUUGCUCUCUUAGCUUCUGGAGGCCAGAAGUCCGAAAUCAAGGUACCAGCAGCCCAUGCGCCCUCCAGGUUUCUAGGCGAGAGAAGCUUCCGUGCUCCCCUGGCGUUCCUUGGCUUGUGGCUGCAUCGCUCCACUCUCUGCCUCCAUCUUCACGUGGCCUCUUCCCUGCUCUUCUCCUCUUGUAAGGACACUUGUCACUGGAUCUCGGGCCUAGCUCAUUAAUCCGGGAUGAUAUCAUCUUUAGAUCCUUCGCUUAAUUAUAUCUGCAAAGGCUCUGUUUCCAAACGAGGUCACAUUCACAGGUCCCGGGGGUUCAGAAUUGGACGUAUCUUCUCAGAGGCCACAAUUCAAGCCACGGCAUGGCCCAAGGGGUGAGAACAGCGUGAAAACUCAAUGAACACAGAAGCAGCCCGGCACCAGCUUGCACCCGCUGGGCGCUCCCUGCGUACGGGCGGCUCCGGACGGCCUUGGAUGCACAUUAACUCGUUUACUUAUCUCAGGCACAGGUGCUGUGUUUACACCCAUUUUACAGAUGGUGAAACCGAGACACACGCACAAAUAAGUCAUUCGCCUCCAGUCACUCAGCCGGUGCCGGCCGUGGAAGCUGGCGGUCUGUCUGUCUGCGGAGUCUGAGCUCCGACCCGCCCACUGCACCGAGGCCGGGCUCUCUGCCCCAGCGGGCACCGGACCAGGCAGGGGACACAGAGAGUGGAGGGGUCUCCUGGGAGUGGUGACCUGGAGAGGUGGGGUGGGGCGUUGCUGCCGGGCACCAGCCAAGGGUAGGACCUCCAGUUUUCAAGAAGAAGCUAAGAUCUCAAUGCUUAUGUGGAAAUUCCCAAUUAUUAGAUUUGGUGACAUUUAUCUUCUGAGAACCAAAUGGAACACAUGGGUAGUCUGUAAAUCAGCGCCUGCCUGCCGCCGCCACGCUUUGGGGGAGGGCUGUUAAUUCUGACUCUGGGCGUCAGGAGGCCGGCAGAGCCCUGACUUUUGAGAGGCCCCGUCUUGGCAGAGGGGUCCUCGCCGUGCCCCACAAGCCCCGACUCUGAGUCUCGCUCUCCUCUGGCCCUGAAGGAGCCAUCGGUGGGAGGUGACAGCGACCGUAAUUCUGCUUUUAUUAUUACAG